rnacentral:rRNA from 1 species
AUGACGCGUGGGGCCCGCCGCAUCUUCUCUCUCCUCCCACGCCUCUUUCUUCUUCCCCCCGGGUCUGCUCCUCCUCUCCUCGACAGAACGCAGGGCAGGGGCGCUGCCGUCGCCAGGCACGGCGGCUCCGGCCAUCUCUGGCCAAGGGAAGGCCACCGGCAAGCGCGACGCGUCCCACCGCAUCCAUCCAGAGAGGAAACGAGCGCCGGGGAGAAGCGGGAUGGCGGCGAGGGGUUGCAGCGGCCGAGGCAGAGGCGGCGGCUCACCUUGGGAGCCGCGGCCACAUGCACUCCGGCGACGAACGAAUGGGUUGGGGAGGCUCUACGGGGCACGUAG